CCUACGGGAGGCUGCAGUAGGGAAUCUUCCACAAUGGGCGCAAGCCUGAUGGAGCAACACCGCGUGAGUGAAGAAGGGUUUCGGCUCGUACAGCUCUGUUGUUGGAGAAGAACGUUCGUGAGAGUAACUGUUCACGCAGUGACGGUAUCCAACCAGAAAGUCACGGCUAACUACGUGCCAGCAGCCGCGGUAAUACGUAGGUGGCAAGCGUUAUCCGGAUUUAUUGGGCGGAAAGCGAGCGCAGGCGGUUGCUUAGGUCUGAUGUGAAAGCCUUCGGCUUAACCGAAGAAGUGCAUCGGAAACCGGGCAACUUGAGUGCAGAAGAGGACAGUGGAACUCCAUGUGUAGCGGUGGAAUGCGUAGAUAUAUGGAAGAACACCAGUGGCGAAGGCGGCUGUCUGGUCUGCAACUGACGCUGAGGCUCGAAAGCAUGGGUAGCGAACAGGAUUAGAUACCCCUGUAGUC
rnacentral:rRNA from 1 species